rnacentral:sRNA from 1 species
GCUGGGCGAGGUGGCGGACGCCUGUAAUUCCGGCUACUCGGGAGGCUGAGGCAGGAGAAUCACUUGAACCCGGGAGACAGAGGUUGCAGUGAGCCAAGAACGCCACUGCACUCCAGCCUGGGCUACAGAGUGAGACUCUGUCUCUC